AUUGAACGCUGGCGGCAUGCUUUACACAUGCCAGUCGAGCGGCAGCGCGGGGAGAGCUGGCGCUGAGCGGUGCCGAGGGGCGGACGGUUGAGGAAUACAUCUCAACCUGCGGGUUAGUACAGGGUAAGGUAGGGAAACAUACCGUAAGAGCUCAUACGACCAGCGGGGGAGAUCCGAGGGCCUCUCGCCCUGGCGCGGUUGCAUGUGCCGAUGUCCGAUUAGCUAGUUGGUGGGGUAAAGGCCUGCCAAGGCGACGAUCGGUAGCUGGUCUGAGAGGAUGAUCAGCCACACUGGAACUGAGACACGGUCCAGACUCCUACGGGAGGCAGCAGUGGGGAAUUUUGGACAAUGGGGGCAAGCCUGAUCCAGCCAUGCCGCGUGAGUGAAGAAGGCCUUCGGGUUGUAAAGCUCUUUCGGAGGGAAAGAAAAGGACCGGACUAAUACUCCGGUCUGAUGACGGUACCGAAAGAAGAAGCACCGGCUAACUUCGUG
rnacentral:rRNA from 1 species